rnacentral:pre_miRNA from 1 species
UUCACCCAGGGAUCUUGGUAAAAUGCAGAUUCUCAUUUAGUAGGUCUGGGAUGGGUGGGCCCAAGACCCUGCAUUUCUAACAAGUUCCCAGGUGAUGCUGA